GUGAAUAUAGCUCAGAUGGUAGAGCUCAGGAUUGUGAUUUCUGUGGUCAUGGGUUCGAAUCCCAUUAUUCACCCCA
rnacentral:tRNA from 1 species